AUAUAUCGAUGGGUUUACAACCCUGCCUCCUUCCUAGGAAGCAGAGAAGAGUGGAUUAUCCUCCAGAGCACCAGCCAUUUCUGGGAUAGAAGCAAACCUAACAUUUGUACUCCAGUAAAAACUGGAGUUUGCAGCAUAAUUCACUUCAUUUAUCCAGCCAACCCCACUUGUGCAGAUGAGCUGAUGUCCCUAAGCAAUGUGUGCCAGGAGCUGCGCCUGUCUGCGUGUCGCUUUGGAUGGCCUCUCUGCUCGCACAGGCUAGAACUGCUUACUUGAGAUGUCGCGGUCCUGGAGAACAAGCGAGGCACUGUUCCACUGGCUUGCCGGGCCUCACAACAGCCGUGCACAGGAAUAUUUCUUGGGCUCUGCACAUAGUGGUGAUGCUUCAGCCUGACCAGGAAGGCCAUCAAGAAUUGAAGUAUGUCAGCUCCACAGCAGACCAAAGCACUGGACAAAAUUUGUUUUAAAAAAGACCCAAAACGGUGCUCGGACUAUUGUUUAGUGGAUGGAGUACCUGCCCCUGUGUAAAAGCUUGGCUGUUGCAGUACAUGACUGUAACUCCAGCUUUGAGAUCCGGAGGACUGAGCCAGACAAAGUAGCAAGCUCCAAGUACAGAGAGAGACUCUGCUUCAAAAAACUGACAGGAAGGGUGAUAGAGGAAGACACUGCACACAUGUGCAAGACACACACACACACACACACACACACA